GGCCACACCUGUGGCAUAUGGAAGGUCCCAGGCUAGGGUUUGAAUUGGAGCUAUAGUUGCCGGCCCACACCACAGCCACAGAAAUGUGGGAUCCCAGCCGUGUCUGUGACCUAGCCCACAGUUCACGGCAACGCUGGAUCCUUAACGCACUGAGCAGAGGCCAGGGAUCACACCCACAUCCUCACGGAUACUAGUCAGGUUCGUUACCCCCGAGCCACGACGGGAACUCUGAUGCUAUGACUGUCUUGUCGCAUCACGGCAAAAGGCUUGUGAUAAAGGUCGUUCCAUGAGAAGGACACUAAAUUUAAUCCAUGUUAAAGGUACAUUUUCCCCUUUGUAUUAAAAGUAGUCUGUGGGUGAUACUUGGGAUCCUGUGAAUGUCCCGCUCCCAAAACCUUUCACUAAGUAAUUUUAGCUUUCACAGAUGAUCCUUGCCUGAGUCCAUUGUGACACUGGAAGUUACAAAAUAACUUUGAUAUGGUUUUUCAGUGGCUGUUUAGUAUACUCUUUUGUGGAUAAUCAUUUUUUAUUAAAUCUUCUGCUUUUAAAUAUUCCCUUUCUUUUUUGGUUGCUAUUACAAGUAAUGCUUUCAUUAAUACCCCAUAGCUAAGUGUUUCUGUAUAGUUAUGAUGAGUUACUUCAAGGAAAUUUGAAGUGAAACUAGGUCAUCAAGUACAACCAUUUUUAAAAGGGAUUUGAUCCAUGUUACCAAGUUUUGUUUUAGGGAAUAUACCAAUUUAUGCUCCUAUUAAGCUUUAUAAGUGCUUGGUAUAUAAGUGCCUAUAUAGGUCAAAUGGGAAACAAAUGCCAGAAUCAAAAGAGCCCAAAGCCCAUCCACCAGGCCACCAGCUUCUUAAAUCAUAUCAUCCAACCUUGUGUGUGACGGGGGGUGAAUGUGCCUGUAGCAGCAAAUAAAUAAAUAAAUAAACCAACCAUUAUACAUGCCUGGUUCCUAACACUCCAGGCAACAAAAGUACUAUCACCAAACUGAUAGAUGAAAAUGGUUUCUCAUUAUUUUAACUUGUGUUUAUCCAAUUGUAGUGAGGUCGAAACAUUUGUGUUUCUUCCAACUGGUCAUAUCUUGGGCCCAUUUUUCUAUUCAUCCUUUCUAUAUUGAUCUGCAAGAGCUCUUUAUACACUAAGAUUGUUAAUUCUUUGCCUACAAGAUGCAUUGUACAUAUUUUUCCAGACUGUAAAAAAUGUUUGAAAAAAAAUCAAAAUUUACAUGGCUAUUUUCCUCCUAAACAGAUCAGCAUCUGUCUGAGACAGAAAAAAAUUAGGAAUGGGGAAGGGAAUGCGAAAACAUUAACCAAACAUAGCAUUAUUUUUGUUUAUUAUGAACUUAAGCAUCUUGAAAGAAAAAGAAUUCCCCAAUGAAGUUAAAAAUUUUAUUCUCAGCAUUCAAAAUUCUCUUCUGAUCUUUGCUAUUUAUUACAUAUAGAGCUGAUUUUGUGAUGCACAAAAAAGUGCUGUUUUUAAAUCAUCAUUCCAUAUCUGCUUUCCAUAAUCAGCACAAUUAUAAAUGUAAUUUUUAAUUAACACUAUGGCAUAAUGCAAUUUUUAAUUAACAGCAUAAUAAUAUAGUUCAUUGAGUUUUCAUAAACCAUUUAAAAUCUAAUUUUUCACUAGAAUAAAUAGUCCUGCUGUGCACAUCCUUGCAUAAACUCUUUUUUGGGUUCCUUUAGGGCUAAAUUCUUUUGUCCAUCUCAAAAAUAAAACUACAUGACUACCAGGGAGAAAAGUAAUACAUUCAGGCUUAUUGCUUUUUGUCAAAGAACACUACAGAAAGACUUAUCCAACAUUUGCUGAGUCCCAGGUACUUGUAUGUCACCAGCAAUGCUUAAAAGGGCUUAUUUUCCCAAAUCCCCAACAAGAUGGAUUUUAAUAAAUGUAUUUAUUCUGGCUAAGUUUAUGGGUGCGUUGUAGUAUUUGAACUGAAGUUACUUUAAGCUAUGCUUCUUCGGGGCCAGUACGUCUGUGUAAGACCCCUGUGCUGGCUUCAUGUAUGUUUCUUCCACUUAUAAACUGUUCAUCUCCUCCAAGCCUUCCUUGUGUCAAACGCAGCAGUGGAACGUCAGUACUUAUUCCUGUUCUUUCUAUAUGUUAUUCAGAGAUCUUGCAGAGGUAACUCACAUUAUGUGCUUUCUUUCCACUCUCUGCAGAGGCAUACUCUGGUUCUCCCCAUGGCUGGUGACUGUGCAGCAGGGGCUUAGGCCCCCCUUUCAUAACCUAUAUUCCCAUG
ensembl:lncRNA